UUGAAAUACAGAAGAAAGCAAGGAGUUUAGUUGAUACAUGGAAAAAAAGAGUUCAGGUUGAGUUGGAUGCUAAAUACGGUCCAAAUCAGUCUGUUCCCUGGUCUGACGUUGCUAAAUGUGGAAUCAAGCACUAUAGACCUUCUGAGGUGAAGAGUUCAGCAACACAAUUCUCUGCAACUAAAACUGGUUUUGUUAAGCUUUUUCAAGGAGGGACUGGAACCAAGUCUGCUUCUGCAAUGCCGGUACCUAUGAAGGCAUCAACAUUGCCUGCUUCAGCCAGAACAAAGGCGCGGAAUACAUGGAAAAAAAAGAGUUCAGGUUGAGUUGGAUGCUAAAUACGGUCCAAAUCAGUCUGUUCCCUGGUCUGAUGUUGCUAAAUGUGGAAUCAAGCACUAUAGACCUUCUGAGGUUGCAGUGAAGAGUUCAGCAACACAAUUCUCUGCAACUAAAAUUGGUUUUGUUAAGCUUUUUCAAGGAGGGACUGCAACCAAGUCUGCUUCUGCAAUGCCGGUACCUAUGAAGGCAUCAACAUUGCCUGCUUCAGCCAGAACAAAGGCGCGGAAUGCUACUAUUGUUGGCACCUCUGAUCCUCAAACAAUCACAAGGGAUGAGAAAAUCAACAGUUCUAGUCAAUCCCACAACAAUACUCUGUCAUGUUCU
rnacentral:lncRNA from 1 species